rnacentral:lncRNA from 1 species
AAAAUCUUUCUGGAAGAUCUGAUUGCUUAUCUCUGUGGAGGCUGGAGAACUACUUGAUCUAGUUAUCUGCUGAUUUAUUAUUUAAUACUGAUCUUACUGCUUGCAACAAGAAACUGAGCUGAAAAAAAAAGUGAUUUUGAAUAGAAGCAGAAUGAGAACAUGAGAAAUGUGGUGCUCUGUUCUCUUAUUUUGUUACACUGCUUAUACAUCUUACCUACAACCUGGAAAUAACUGUAAUGUGCAUCAGUUAGAAAGAUGAAAUUUUAAUCCAAUGCAACCACUCAUUUAGGCAAUCCCCCUUUACCUGUGCUUAAGGGGGUAUAAACUGUUCAUGCUGAUUUAUCCAUGACUAAAAACAACAAAACAAGCGAUCAGUGCACACACACAAACACACAAAAACCAAAAGGAACAAGCAGAUUCUUUUUUCUCCCUGUAUUUAUUAACUGUGUUUAUUUCUUAUAGGUAUGAAGAAAUGCAGCUUUGGUAGAUGCUCUCCACAAAAAACAGCUAUUAAUACAAAAUAUGCACUGGAAACAACGUGAAACAGCUGUGAAUAUUAAUGACAACGAUGGCUUCCCAGGGUACUCCUGACCAAAGCCUACAUGCCACUGUAGAGGGGAGGACCUGGGAUGUUAACACAGGGACUUCGGUGUCAGUACAGAAAGCGUUUUACUCAUUGGUAAAACAGUUAAAACUGUGUCUCUGCAUAGACCCUUUGUUUUACAGCUGCUUGAACACUCUGUGGUGCCCAAUUGUCUUUGUCCUGAUUAUGAAUCGGCCCUUUGUCUUGACUGUGAAUAGCUUGUGAACAUGCUGCUGUUUUGAAGACUGUGUUUGUUAUUCUAUGAAUGUUUUAUGUAGACAAGUUUUUUGUCUCUAGAUUGUUCACUGCUUGUCUAAGGAAUGAGUUAGGUUAUAGACAAAUUCCCCCUGGAAAUUUGUUUCUCUUAGUGAUUCAUUGGACUCAUAUGAAGAGAAGGUGAACAAGCAAACAUGCAAACUUGCAUAUUCCUUAUUCAUAAUAUAUACCCAUGGGCAAACCUACUUCUAAAAGGUUCUGAUUUAUAUGAAAUAAAAAUUACUUACCCUACUUACA